rnacentral:pre_miRNA from 1 species
AGGCGGAACGAGAGCAACUUUGAUAACUUUUGUCCCCAAAUUGCACUCGUCCCGGCCUGC